AGCUGGAUUCGCUAGUAAUCGCGCAUCAGCCAUGGCGCGGUGAAUACGUUCCCGGGCCUUGUACACACCGCCCGUCAAGCCAUGAAAGCCGGGGGCGCCUGAAGUCCGUGACCGCGAGGGUCGGCCUAGGGUGAAACCGGUGAUUGGGGCUAAGUCGUAACAAGGUACC
rnacentral:rRNA from 1 species